rnacentral:rRNA from 1 species
GACGAACGCUGGCGGCGUGCUUAACACAUGCAAGUCGAACGGAAAGGCCCUGCUUUUGUGGGGUGCUCGAGUGGCGAACGGGUGAGUAACACGUGAGUAACCUGCCCUUGACUUUGGGAUAACUUCAGGAAACUGGGGCUAAUACCGGAUAGGAGCUCCUGCUGCAUGGUGGGGGUUGGAAAGUUUCGGCGGGUGGGGAUGGACUCGCGGCUUAUCAGCUUGUUGGUGGGGUAGUGGCUUACCAAGGCUUUGACGGGUAGCCGGCCUGAGAGGGUGACCGGCCACAUGGGGACUGAGAGACGGCCCAGACUGCUACGGGGGGCAGCAGUGGGGAAUAUUGCACAAUGGGCGGAAGCCUGAUGCAGCAACGCCGCGUGCGGGAUGACGGCCUUCGGGUUGUAAACCGCUUUCGCCUGUGACGAAGCGUGAGUGACGGUAAUGGGUAAAGAAGCACCGGCUAACUACGUG